CCAUUUUCUUGUAUCUUCUUUAUUUUAUUUUUUUAAAGACUGGAAGUUCUUGUCAUAAAGGUCUUUCACAUGUUUGGUUAGAGUUACUCCCAGGAUAUUUCAUGUUGUUUGUGGCUAUUGUAAAGGGUGAUGCUUCUCUUAUUUCUUUCUCAGCCCAUUUAUCAUCUGUAUAUAGUAGGGCUACUGAAUUUUUAAUUAGUCAUGUGUCCUGCCUGCUACUUUGCUGAAUAUCCCAGCACUUCCUAUAAUACUCUUUUAAUCCUAGCACUUGGGCAGUGGAGACAGGACUGAUAUGACUACAUGGAGAAAGCAAUAUAAGGAGGAGGAGACAGGAACUCAGAGCAUUUUGCCUCUGAGCAUUCAUGGAGAUAGGAUCAGCCAUUUCUUAUGAAGUAGAGGUAAAAUCUAGUAGCUGGAUGCUUUGCAUUUAUGAUCUUCAGCUUGAAUCAAUAUCAGCCUCUGGGUCUUUUAUUGUUAUUGUUACACACCUGCUUGAAAGGAAAAUAUAUAAUGGAAGUAUAUUCCCUAAUGUCUUUAGGCAAUUGGAAGCCUGUGUUGUCUCCCACUAUGCUAACAACUGUUCUUUUCACAAGCUGACAUAAAAUAAUAAAAUAUCUUAUAUUCAAAGAAGAAAAGGAGAAGCAAAUUUCAUUUGAAGGCAAAAGAAAUUUUAUUGCAUGUUUUCUUCCCGAUAAGGAGGGGAGAGAGAAAGCUGUAGCCUCUUAUUAUUCAAUUGGAAUAAUUAAUGAUUUUUAUAGUAUUAAAAUAUGUCCUUAUAAGAAUAUGUUUUAUUAUUUCCAUGUUGAGACUAUACAAAUAUGAAUUCACAAAAACAUUGAUCUACUUUUAGAAAUUGAAUACCAGCAGUUUCUAUUCCAAUAAAGGAUGUAGUUUUUCACCAUAAUUUCUUUGCUGUUCUGUAUGUCGUGUUUGACUUCAUUUCUGGUUCCUAUGUCCUGUGCUUCCUUCAAUAAUAGUCUAGGCUCAAUGCAGGUGAGCCUCCCUGAUAUUUAAAGAGGAAGCAUUUGAGCACAUGAAUUUUGCAUUCAGAAUUGCCUUUUCCAGCUUGAGAUUCCUAAUCCCAAUACCUUUAAGCAUUAAAAUAUUUAUUUAGAAAAUCAUAACAAUUCUAUUAAAGGUAUGUCAUCUCGUUUCCUCAUAGAAAACUAUAUCUGAUACAAAAAGUACAUAUUAUUGAAAUAUUUAAACAUGGACAUAUAAUUCUAAACAUUAACACAUGUUCUUUUUGUUUAAAAUUAUAAAUUUAUAUAUAAAAUAUAUAUUGUAUAUAAAAUAUGUUAAAUUUAAAAUUAUAUAUCUGUAGGCAAGUAAUCAUUUCGAAUAAUCAAUACACUCAAAAUGAGGAGUGAUUUUUAUUUUUGCCAGAAUUUGAUUAUACAUAUAUUGUCCCAUAAUUUUACUAGUAACCUGUAUUAUUUUGCAAAUAAAGCAAUUUAGUAUUAUUUGAUGUGUAAAAAUAUUUAAAUAUGAAAUCAGAAUAAGAAUGUCAAGUCACAUGAGGGCUGACAGAUGUAUUAAAAAUGGAUAUAGAGCUACAUUUUAGUAGGUAUUUUGAUAUCAUAACCAUUUAGCAAAAUAAUGCUAGCAUAUUCUCCCUUAGGAGACUUGUUGAACAGAUUUUCAGUAUAAGAUAUGAGUUAUGUCCUCAGAAGUAGACCUUAAAUCCACUCAAAAUCUGAACGGUUUCCUGCAAUGUCCAUAAGACUAUUUCAGCAAUGGUCAUGUCAGGCAAAGCUGAGCAGUACAGAAACAUCACAGUUCAUAACUGGAAAAAGACAGUGAUUAACUUCUCCACUGUAGCAUAGAUAGCACUUUCUAGCACCAUGAAACCUAUACAGUAGGGAAACCACUUCAAUGUUGUUUCUAAUUUGCCUCCUAUAUAUUCUCUUACAAACUUGUUUGCUGUCUUUAGCAGCAGAACUUUGCCAUCAGGUUCUAGUGCUUGUACAACUUAAGAAUAAUUGAAGGUUUUAUUAUCUAAUAAACAACAUUAUAUCACACAAAUCUUCCUUAUUUAAAAUAUUUUAUAAAAUACAAGAAAGAUGAUUGGUACUGUGAUGCAUAUCUUCAAGACUAUGGAUAUUACCUAUAUUGUAGACUCUAAAAUAAUUUCCUUUGGCGUCUUUGGUUCAAUUUAGUAGCAGUUUAAGAAACAAAUUUCCAGGUUUUCCAUGAUUCUGGUCCAUGCUAACUAAUGGGACACAAGUGCCACCCAGAAAAUAUCAUUAAGGUGGUCCAAAUCAAACAUAUAAAUGGACUUAAAAUUGUAAUAUUUUUGGAAUUAAUCUGCACACUUAUUAAGUUUUAUCUCCAUAUAUGAGGACAUAUGUGACAAUAUACAAAAAUUUAAUGCAUCUUAUAGCUUAUGUAAGAAGUUUUCCAGCCUGUCUUCCAGUCAACAAUUAUAAAUGCAGUAAAAAAUAAUUACCCCUAACUUUUCUACAUCUUCCUACUCUGAAUUAUGGUUUGUCUUUUCCAAGAAAUAAUGAUGUAAAGAUAUUAAUGAUCACAAAUUAAUUACCUGGGUACAUUAUUAAGUGUAAAAUAGGUUAGAGUGUGUUUGGUUGUGAUUCAGACCAGUGAAGCCAGAACAGUCUGUAUGCAUGUUAGAGUGUGAGCAUACCAUUUUCCUUGUUACUAUAGGUACUGAAUCUGUCAGUAAAACUUCUUACUAUUCUUACGGUGGUAGCACACAUCUUUAAUCCCAGGACUUGGGAGGCAGAGGCAGGCAUAUCUCCGUGAGUUCAAGGCCAGCCUGGUAAACAGAGCAAGUGCCAGAAUAGGCUCCAAAGCCACAGAGAAACCCGUUUUCGAAAAACCAAAAUGAUAGAAUAGUGGCAAUGUUAUGAGGGGCUUUUGACAGCUAAACAUUUUAAUAAAUGCUUAGAAAAUAUGUUCAAUAAAUGACUUUUUCAUUUUUUGUUUUUCCGAAGUCAUAAUUCCUUCAUCUUUUGAAUUCUUAUUAGUAGAAAUUGGCUGUACUGAGAAUAACUUUUAUGACAUCAAUAGAUAUGUAAAAUGUACAUUAAUCAUAUCUGCUCCUUCUCUUUACUAGUUUUCAUAAGUCUGGUUAAGACCAGCACAAUUUCCUUAUUGUAUCAAGUAAUUGCUUCAUCUGUAAUUAGAAGUUUAAAUCCAUUUUCAUAAAAAUUGUAGUUAUACAUUCAGAUUCUCAAAUUAAUAUAAACAUACCCUCAAUUAUCUUCUUCCAAAUACGCUGUGUUUCCUCAAAUGCCUUUACACCAUCCAAUUAUAUUUGUCAGUGGACAGAAUUUUGUUUGAUCUGCUUUGCUUUUCCUUGGCUGUAUCAAGGUCCUGCAAACUGUACACAUCAUUAGUUUUUGUUUGUGUAAGGCUUCAGAUGCAACAUGCACAUAUUUGUGACAGAACACCUCAUCCCAUCUCUGCAAGGUCCUCAUCCCCUUCUUAAGCAAAAACAUUUCUUAGAUAUUUUAAUUAUAUCAUUCUCUUAGUUAUAAUCAAAAAUGGUGGCCAACUCCUAGUAUACCUAUUUAUUUGUAUCUCAGAAAUUAGGUUUCUUUGUUUGCUUAUCAGCAUAACUCAAACUGUCUUUUAUACCACUGUUUACAUUUUAGUAACUCAGAAACUUUAAUUUAACAUGGAAAUAUUUGUCUGUAAAGUUCUAUUUUCACCAAUAAAAACUGUCAUUAAAAUUCUGUGUCAGCUACUAAAAGUACUUAAAUGCAUCUAAUUAUUCUACAAUUUUAUGAAGUAAUCAUUUUAUACACAUGUUGAAUUAGUUUGUAAACUGUUGUUCUUUUCUUUAAAUGCAACUCUUUUUAAUGUGCUAAAAGAAUGUAAUGGUGAAUCUUUAUAAUUUUGACAGAAUUGAAGUCAUCAAGAAAACACCUCCUAGAAUAUUUUUUUGUAUAUAUUUCUAGAGAGGAUUAUCUUAGGGAGGAAGACAGUAGUUAGUGGGUUCCACACUAUUCCCAGGACAGGAGUCCUAGACAGAAUCAAAAGGUUAAAUUAAAAUGGAAAGCAUGAGUUGAUCUGAUGUAUUCAUCUCUCCCUGCUUCCAAACUAUGGAUGCAAUGUGUCAGUCACCCCACAUUACAAUGGACAAGAAAAUAAGGCUUUAAGGAUAGUCAGUGAGUGUAGGCACAUGAAGGUGGGCCUAGGCACUAUCACAAAGGACAUGACAGACUCUGAAGAUUCCCUAUGUAAGACCUCACCCUCCCUGUGGAGCAGAAAGGUUAUGUAAUAUGUAGGAUUUUAGUUGGGGGGCAGGGGAGAAAGGGAG
rnacentral:lncRNA from 1 species